ACUCCACUUGAAACUACUUGCCAGAAAAUGACUCCUAGGAAGAGAGACCUCCAACCCUGCCUCAGACUUUGGAUGAGAGUCGUCGGCUGCCGUACAGAAACCGCUAUAACUCCCUGAAAUCUGCAAAUACUUGCUCAAGAACAGAGAUAAAGGAUUGGAAGAUUUCCAAAGCACACCGCUUUCAUCCAGAAAGGAAAGAAGGUCCUGGGUACUUUAACAAAUAAGCACUAGUAAUUGUCAGCGUCUUUCCUCCUGCAAUAGACCACACUUCUGACCAUAGAGCUGAAUGCGUUUUCAAAAUAGAAGUUCUCAGAAGAGCAAGGGGAAACGGACCAAAGGAUGAAAGUUCUUCCAGCACAGGGUGUUAAGCUUUCUCAUCUGUCCCUUCUGCA